rnacentral:rRNA from 1 species
CACGUAGGGGGCGAGCGUUGUCCGGAUUUAUUGGGCGUAAAGAGCUCGUAGGCGGCUCAGUAAGUCAGGUGUGAAAACUCCAGGCUCAACCUGGAGACGCCACCUGAUACUGCUGUGGCUAGAGUCCGGUAGGGGAGCAUGGAAUUCCUGGUGUAGCGGUGAAAUGCGCAGAUAUCAGGAGGAACACCGAUGGCGAAGGCAGGUCUCUGGGCUGACACUGACGCUCAUGCACGAAAGCGUGGGGAGCAAACAGG